rnacentral:rRNA from 1 species
UACGUAGGGUGCGAGCGUUAAUCGGAAUUACUGGGCGUAAAGCGUGCGUAGGCGGUUCGCUGUGUCCGAUGUGAAAGCCCCGGGCUUAACCUGGGAAUGGCAUUGGAAACUGGCGGGCUUGAGUGCGGCAGAGGGGGGUGGAAUUCCGCGUGUAGCAGUGAAAUGCGUAGAUAUCGAGAGGAACACCUGCGGCGAAGGCGGGUAGCUGGGCCGACACUGACGCUGAUGCGCGAAAGCGUGGGGAGCAAACAGG